UCUACACUGACAAAAAAGUUUAGAAAAACUCAGCUGUUGCAGGUUACUUUGUCUCAAGGUAAUCUACAAUAGCUGCCACAGCUGUAGUGCCCCAUACAAACAAUACAGCUGUGGCAGAUAAUGUGGAUUACCUGGAGAAAAAGUUACCUGCUACAGGUGAGUUUUUCGAAACUUUUUUGUCAGUGCACUGAAAGAGUCAU